UAUACAUACAUUUUUGCAGCCAUGUUGAGCCAUAACUUCCAAAAGAGUA
rnacentral:sRNA from 1 species